rnacentral:rRNA from 1 species
UACGGGGGGGGCAAGCGUUGUUCGGAAUUACUGGGCGUAAAGGGCUCGUAGGCGGCCAACUAAGUCAGACGUGAAAUCCCUCGGCUUAACCGGGGAACUGCGUCUGAUACUGGAUGGCUUGAGUUUGGGAGAGGGAUGCGGAAUUCCAGGUGUAGCGGUGAAAUGCGUAGAUAUCUGGAGGAACACCUGUGGCGAAGGCGGCCACCUGGUUGGAUACGUGACGCUGAGACGCGAAAGCGUGGGGAGCAAACAGGG